CUGCUGCCUCCCGUAGGAGUUUGGGCCGUGUCUCAGUCCCAAUGUGGCCGGUCACCCUCUCAGGUCGGCUACUGAUCGUUGCCUUGGUGAGCCGUUACCUCUCCAACUAGCUAAUCAGACGCGGGUCCAUCUCAUACCACCUCAGUUUUUCACACCAAACCAUGCGGUUUUGUGCGCUUAUGCGGUAUUAGCAGUCAUUUCUAACUGUUAUCCCCCUGUAUGAGGCAGGUUACCCACGCGUUACUCACCCGUCCCG
rnacentral:rRNA from 1 species